AUUGAACGCUGGCGGCAGGCCUAACACAUGCAAGUCGAGCGGAGCGGCGGACGGGUGAGUAAUGCCUAGGAAUCUGCCUGGUAGUGGGGGAUAACGUCCGGAAACGGGCGCUAAUACCGCAUACUAUCAGAUGAGCCUAGGUCGGAGUAGCUAGUUGGUGGGGUAAAGGCCUACCAAGGCGACGAUCCGUAACUGGUCUGAGAGGAUGAUCAGUCAACUGGGAGUGGGGACGGGUCCCAGGCGCCUGCGGGAGGGCGCAGGGGGGAAUAGUGGACAAUGGGGGAAAGCCUGGUCCAACCAUGCCGGGUUUGUGAAGAAGUUCUUCGGAUUGUAAAGCAGUUUAAGUUGGGAGACGUUACUGACAGAAUAAGCACCGGCUAACUUCGUGCCAGCAGCCGCGGUAAUAC
rnacentral:rRNA from 1 species